GUCAGUCACGGCCUCGGCUUCAGCAUCGCCUACGAGGAGCCGGAACAGAGAGGCCGCGGGUCAGACACGGCGGGCGGCCAUACUGGAAACGGGCAAGGGCCGAGAACGCCAGGCGCGGGGCGGGACGUGGCCCUCAGCUCCUCCCUGGUCGCAGCGACACCUGGGCGGCCCCGUGGUCGAGAUUGCCUAAUGAUGGAAGACCAAGAUAACUCUAUUCCUCUAUUCCUCUAUGUACUGGAGCUCUUGUAAAGCCAAAGGAUACUCCUUGAGGCAAGUAUGGGAUCAAAGAAGCAAGUGCAGUUUAAUUCUAUAACAUGACCCCAACCAUUACCUUCCAGGGCUGUUCUGUUUGCUCACAGGUCUAAGAAGACACACUGUGGGCUGGGACAUAUUAUUCCAAGCCACUGUGAACAGCAUCUUGAGGAGUAUUGGUGGUAAUUCUCACAGCUGCCAAGAUCAAAACAGGCUCUCACGCAC
rnacentral:lncRNA from 1 species